CCUACGGGUGGCAGCAGUGAGGAAUAUUGGUCAAUGGACGAGAGUCUGAACCAGCCAAGUAGCGUGAAGGAUGACUGCCCUAUGGGUUGUAAACUUCUUUUAUAUGGGAAUAAUAUGUUCCACGUGUGGGAUUUUGUCUGUACCUUAUGAAUAAGGAUCGGCUAACUCCGUGCCAGCAGCCGCGGUAAUACGGAGGAUCCGAGCGUUAUCCGGAUUUAUUGGGUUUAAAGGGUGCGUAGGUGGGUUGUUAAGUCAGUUGUGAAAGUUUGGGGCUCAACCGUAAAAUUGCAGUUGAAACUGGCAGUCUUGAGUACAGUAGAGGUAGGCGGAAUUCGUGGUGUAGCGGUGAAAUGCUUAGAUAUCACGAAGAACUCCGAUUGCGAAGGCAGCUCACUGGACUGCAACUGACACUGAGGCUCGAGAGUGUGGGUAGCAAACAGGAUUAGAUACCCUUGUAGUC
rnacentral:rRNA from 1 species